rnacentral:lncRNA from 1 species
UUAAACGGUUUUAUUUAGCUCACCCAGUUUGUUUUAUUAUUUAUUCAUUCUUUCUUGGGUCAAAUUUAGUAAUUCAAAUUUCACCCUCUUCCUGUCAACCGAUUAAUCUGAAAUUUUGUAUACACCUUUAAUUCCGAUGACAAUACAAUAUAGUAAUAUCAAUAACAUUGUAAAUCCAAUAUGGCCGCCGGCACAAAAUGGCGGAUAACGUAGAUUUUAUCAAUCCCAUCAAUAUGGGUAUCAAAUGAAAGGGCUCAACAAGCAGAAUACAAUAUACUAUAAAAAAUUGAAAUCCAAGAUGGCGGCCGCUACAAAAUGGCGGAUAACGUAGAUUUUAUCAAUCCCAUCAAUAUGGGUAUCAAAUGAAAGGGCUCAACAAGCAGAAUACAAUAUACUAUAAAAAAUUGAAAUCCAAGAUGGCGGCCGCUACAAAAUGGCGGAUAACGUAGGUUUUAUCAAUCCCAUCAAUAUGGGUAUCAAAUGAAAGUUCUCAACCAGUAGAAUACAAUGUACUAUAUAAAAUUAAAAUCCAAGAUGGCGGCCUCUACAAAAUGGCGGAUGACUUAGGUUCAUUUGAUACCCAUGUUGAUGGGUCUCAACAAGUAGAAUACAAUUUACUAUGCAAAAUUGAAAUCUAAGAUGGCCGCCGCUACCAAAUGGCUGAUAACAAUUUUUUAUCAAUCCCACCAAUAUGGGUAUCAAAUGAAAGGGCUUCACAAGUAGAAAACUGUCAGUAACUCCAGCGGGGCCCAACAGGGCCAAGGCCUGCCUGGGCUGCGAGAUUGUUCGAAAGAGUUACC